UACAGAGGUCCCAAGCGUUGUUCGGAUUCAUUGGGCGUAAAGGGUGCGUAGGCGGCGCGGUAAGUCGGGUGUGAAAUCUCGGAGCUUAACUCCGAAACUGCAUUCGAUACUGCCGUGCUUGAGGACUGGAGAGGAGACUGGAAUUUACGGUGUAGCGGUGAAAUGCGUAGAUAUCGGAAGGAAGACCAGUGGCGAAGGCGGGUCUCUGGACAGUUCCUGACGCUGAGGCACGAAGGUCAGGGGAGCAAACGGG
rnacentral:rRNA from 1 species